rnacentral:rRNA from 1 species
UGGGGAAUCUUCCGCAAUGGACGAAAGUCUGACGGAGCAACGCCGCGUGAGUGAAGAAGGUUUUCGGAUCGUAAAACUCUGUCUUUUGGGGCGAACGUGAGUAUGGUGAACAAUCAUAGUCAGUGACGGUACCAAAGGAGGAAGCCACGGCUAACUACGUGCCAGCAGCCGCGGUAAUACGUAGGUGGCAAGCGUUGUCCGGAAUUAUUGGGCGUAAAGAGCGCGUAGGCGGGAUAGUCAGUCUGUUGUAAAGUGCGGGGCUCAACCCCGUGAUCGCAAUGGAAACAGCUAUUCUUGAGUGCAGGAGAGGAAAGUGGAAUUCCCAGUGUAGCGGUGAAAUGCGUAGAUAUUGGGAGGAACACCAGUGGCGAAGGCGACUUUCUGGACUGUGUCUGACGCUGAGGCGCGAAAGCCAGGGGAGCGAACGGGAUUAGAUACCCCGGUAGUCCUGGCCGUAAACGAUGGGUACUAGGUGUGGGAGGUAUCGACCCCCUUUCCGUGCCGGAGUUAACGCAAUAAGUACCCCGCCUGGGGAGUACGGUCGCAAGACUGAAACUCAAAUGAAUUGAC